GUAAAGGCCCUUUUCAGGGCCACCCACAUUUUUUUAUCCACUACUU
rfam:Schistosoma curassoni strain Dakar, Senegal genome assembly, scaffold: SCTD_scaffold0022925